UACAGAGGUCCCAAGCGUUGUUCGGAUUCAUUGGGCGUAAAGGGUGCGUAGGCGGCGCGGUAAGUCGGGUGUGAAAUCUCGGAGCUUAACUCCGAAACUGCAUUCGAUACUGCCGUGCUUGAGGACUGGAGAGGAGACUGGAAUUUACGGUGUAGCGGUGAAAUGCGUAGAUAUCGUAAGGAAGACCAGUGGCGAAGGCGGAUCUCUGGACAGUUCCUGACGCUGAGGCGCGAAGGCCAGGGGAGCAAACGGG
rnacentral:rRNA from 1 species